UUGUUGCCAGCGGUCCGGCCGGGAACUCAAAGGAGACUGCCAGUGAUAAACUGGAGGAAGGUGGGGAUGACGUCAAGUCAUCAUGGCCCUUACGACCAGGGCUACACACGUGCUACAAUGGCGCAUACAAAGAGAAGCGACCUCGCGAGAGCAAGCGGACCUCAUAAAGUGCGUCGUAGUCCGGAUUGGAGUCUGCAACUCGACUCCAUGAAGUCGGAAUCGCUAGUAAUCGUGGAUCAGAAUGCCACGGUGAAUACGUUCCCGGGCCUU
rnacentral:rRNA from 1 species